AAUCCAUGAUGAAACCUAUCCCUAAGCUGAUGACCUGAAGAAAAAUAUGUACGGAUUCGGCUUCUGAGGU
rnacentral:snoRNA from 1 species